rnacentral:tRNA from 1 species
GGAGAGGUGCUGGAGUGGUUGAUCAGGCUAGUCUUGAAAACUAGUAUAUCCGCAAGGAUAUCGUGGGUUCGAAUCCCACCCUCUCCGCCA